AGAGUUUGAUCCUGGCUCAGGACGAACGCUGGCGACGUGCUUAACACAUGCAAGUCGAACGGAAUCCAUGGUGUAGCAAUACACCGGAAGAUUUAGUGGCGAACGGGUGAGGAUCACGUGAGAAACGUGCCCCAGACUCUGGGAUAACAAUUGGAAACGAUUGCUAAUACCGGAUGACGUCGGAGAACCGCAUGGUUCACUGACGAAAGAUAUUUCGGUUUGGGAGCGUCUCGCGGCCUAUCAGCUUGUUGGUGGGGUAAUGGCCUACCAAGGCAACGACGGGUAGCUGGUCUGAGAGGAUGAUCAGCCACACUGGGACUGAGACACGGCCCAGACUCCUACGGGAGGCAGCAGUGGGGAAUCUUGCGCAAUGGGCGAAAGCCUGACGCAGCAACGCCGCGUGCGGGAUGAAGGCCUUCGGGCUGUAAACCGCUUUCAGCAGGAACGAAAAUGACGGUACCUGCAGAAGAAGGAGCGGCCAACUACGUGCCAGCAGCCGCGGUGACACGUAGGCUCCAAGCGUUGUCCGGAUUUAUUGGGCGUAAAGAGCUCGUAGGCGGUUGAGUAAGUCGGGUGUGAAAACUCUGGGCUUAACCCGGAGACGCCAUCCGAUACUGCUCUGACUAGAGUUCAGGAGGGGAGUGGGGAAUUCCUAAUGUAGCGGUGAAAUGCGCAGAUAUUAGGAGGAACACCGGUGGCGAAGGCGCCACUCUGGACUGAAACUGACGCUGAGGAGCGAAAGCAUGGGUAGCAAACAGGAUUAGAUACCCUGGUAGUCCAUGCCGUAAACGGUGGGCACUAGGUGUGGGUUCCAACUAACGGGAUCCGCGCCGUCGCUAACGCAUUAAGUGCCCCGCCUGGGGAGUACGGUCGCAAGACUAAAACUCAAAGGAAUUGACGGGGGCCCGCACAAGCAGCGGAGCGUGUUGCUUAAUUCGAUGCUACGCGAAGAACCUUACCUGGGUUUGA
rnacentral:rRNA from 1 species